CGAUGAUCCGGUGCUUGCACCGGUGAUUAGUGGCGAACGGGUGAGUAACACGUGAGUAACCUGCCCUUGACUCUGGGAUAAGCCUGGGAAACCGGGUCUAAUACCGGAUAUGACCUGUUACCGCAUGGUGGCGGGUGGAAAGAUUUAUUGGUUUUGGAUGGACUCGCGGCCUAUCAGCUUGUUGGUGGGGUAAUGGCCUACCAAGGCGACGACGGGUAGCCGGCCUGAGAGGGUGACCGGCCACACUGGGACUGAGACACGGCCCAGACUCCUACGGGAGGCAGCAGUGGGGAAUAUUGCACAAUGGGCGCAAGCCUGAUGCAGCGACGCCGCGUGAGGGAUGACGGCCUUCGGGUUGUAAACCUCUUUCAGCAGGGAAGAAGCGGAAGUGACGGUACCUGCAGAAGAAGCGCCGGCUAACUACGUGCCAGCAGCCGCGGUAAUACGUAGGGCGCAAGCGUUGUCCGGAAUUAUUGGGCGUAAAGAGCUCGUAGGCGGUUUGUCGCGUCUGCUGUGAAAGCCCGGGGCUCAACCCCGGGUCUGCAGUGGGUACGGGCAGACUUGAGUGCAGUAGGGGAGACUGGAAUUCCUGGUGUAGCGGUGAAAUGCGCAGAUAUCAGGAGGAACACCGAUGGCGAAGGCAGGUCUCUGGGCUGUAACUGACGCUGAGGAGCGAAAGCAUGGGGAGCGAACAGGAUUAGAUACCCUGGUAGUCCAUGCCGUAAACGUUGGGCACUAGGUGUGGGGGACAUUCCACGUUUUCCGCGCCGUAGCUAACGCAUUAAGUGCCCCGCCUGGGGAGUAC
rnacentral:rRNA from 1 species